GAGUUUGAUCCUGGCUCANGAUGAACGCUAGCGGCAGGCUUAACACAUGCAAGUCGAGGGGUAACAUUGGUGCUUGCAUCAGAUGACGACCGGCGCACGGGUGCGUAACGCGUAUACAAUCUACCUUUUGCUGAGGGAUAGCCUUUGGAAACGAAGAUUAAUACCUCAUAGUAUGUUUUGAUGGCAUCAUCAAAAUAUUAAAGGUUACGGCAAAAGAUGAGUAUGCGUUCUAUUAGCUAGAUGGUGUGGUAACGGCACACCAUGGCAACGAUAGAUAGGGGCCCUGAGAGGGGGACCCCCCACACUGGUACUGAGACACGGACCAGACUCCUACGGGAGGCAGCAGUGAGGAAUAUUGGACAAUGGAGGCAACUCUGAUCCAGCCAUGCCGCGUGCAGGAAGACUGCCCUAUGGGUUGUAAACUGCUUUUAUACAGGAAGAAACCGCUCUACGUGUAGAGCCUUGACGGUACUGUAAGAAUAAGGAUCGGCUAACUCCGUGCCAGCAGCCGCGGUAAUACGGAGGAUCCAAGCGUUAUCCGGAAUCAUUGGGUUUAAAGGGUCCGUAGAUGGAUAAUUAAGUCAGAGGUGAAAUCCUGCAGCUCAACUGUAGAAUUGCCUUUGAUACUGGUUAUCUUGAGUUAUUGUGAAGUAGUUAGAAUAUGUAGUGUAGCGGUGAAAUGCAUAGAUAUUACAUAGAAUACCAAUUGCGAAGGCAGAUUACUAACAAUAUACUGACACUGAUGGACGAAAGCGUGGGGAGCGAACAGGAUUAGAU
rnacentral:rRNA from 1 species